UGCCUAAACCCACCAGCUUGCUGGCGGGCAUGGUGUGAAAUCGUAAGCCAUAAAGAACCCGUCAUGGGGCGUGGCUUACGUUGUAGAGGGAAACCUCUAUAGGGCCGUAAGGCCU
rnacentral:sRNA from 1 species